GACGAACGCUGGCGGCAGGCCUAACACAUGCAAGUCGAGCGCCCGCAAGGGAGCGGCGGACGGGUGAGUAACGCGUGGGAACGUGCCCUUUGCUACGGAAUAGCCUCGGGAAACUGAGAGUAAUACCGUAUGUGCCCUUCGGGGGAAAGAUUUAUCGGCAAAGGAUCGGCCCGCGUUGGAUUAGGUAGUUGGGGGGGUAAUGGCCUACCAAGCCGACGAUCCAUAGCUGGUUUGAGAGGAUGAUCAGCCACACUGGGACUGAGACACGGCCCAGACUCCUACGGGAGGCAGCAGUGGGGAAUCUUAGACAAUGGGCGCAAGCCUGAUCUAGCCAUGCCGCGUGAGCGAUGAAGGCCUUAGGGUUGUAAGGCUCUUUCGUGGGGGAAGAUAAUGACGGUACCCCAAGAAGAAGCCCCGGCUAACUCCGUGCCAGCAGCCGCCGUAAUAC
rnacentral:rRNA from 1 species